rnacentral:sRNA from 1 species
AAUAUCAUUUUGCACCAUUUUAGCUUGUUUUGCAUACUUAGGCAUUUCGGAUCAUCUUGCAUUCGCAUUGCAUGUUUUGGUGUGUUUUCAGGUGCAAAAGGAGCUUAAAAAGACUCUACUCGAUCCAUUCACUCGGUCCUGGCAGCUACAGAAGAGGCAUCAUCCUACUCGACCUCUUUACUCGGUCCAGGAUGCUACAAAGGAGGCUGCAGUUUACUCGACCCUCCUACUCGAUUAAGGCAACCUCAGAUGAAGCAGCAGAUUCAACUACUCGCCCCUCCUACUCGAUCCACUACUCGAAGCAUUUACUCGACCAAGGGUGACCAUCUCUACAAGACUUGUUGAGCUAUCAAAGCGUCUUCGGAUCCUCCUCAUUCCCCACUCAACCAGACAUCUGAGCAUACAAAUAGGAGAGGAUGAAGCAUCUACUCGACCAAUUGAUCAGUCGGAGCAUAGACACAAAGGCGUCGACUUUGCAGCACCCUCUUUACUCGAUCCCUAAGGUCGAGUAUUCGCCCAAACCGCCUUAAAUCUCUUGUCUUCUAGUGAAUCUAGGGUUUCCAACACUUUAGUAUAAAUAGAUCAUUGAGGUUUAUCCAAAAGAGCUAGACUUUAUCUUUCAGUUUUUCUUUGUGUUUAUGAAUCUUGAAACUUUAAUUACUCUUAAUCUAUUUCCUUUUUGCAUUUGAUUGUUUAAGUAGAGUUGUUUAGCUUGUUUAGAUCUACAUUUUGGUAUGAUUUCAGUAAUUUCUGGGUUUGUGUUCUUGAGAAUGUUGCUUGAGUAGUGAUUAGGGUUCUUGAGGAUGGAUUAGAUUAGGGUAAUCUCUAGGUUAGUUAGGUGGUUAGUGUUUAGGUUUAUACCCUUCAGGAUUCGCUUGGCCCGUAUGCAGUUUUCGCUGGCUAAUGUGGAGAUUCGAUCAUAGACGUCCAGCGUCCAAAAGACGUUCAAAUGGAUGUCUGACCUACGAAUUUCAGAGAUAUGUAGACUCGAAACAACAAUUUAAUGGAGGCUUCCAACAGCAGAAUCCACCACCAGGGUUCACACAACAACCACAACAAGCCCCAGCAGCUUAAGAUCCUGAAAUUAAGCAACUCAUUCAACAGAUCAUCCAAGGACAAGCUACUGGAGCUAUGGCUUUUGAAAAGAAGAUAGCUGAAUUCCACAACAAGAUCGAUUGUUCAUACAACGAUUUGAAUGUCAAGUUUGAAGCUCUGAACUCAAAAAUCAAGUAUGUGGAGAGUCAAUUUGCCUCAACCUCUGCUCCGAAGCAUCCUCAACAACUUCUACGGAAAGCAGUCAAGAACCCUAAGGACUAUGCUACUGCUAAUGCUAUCACCAUCCACCAAGAAGAUGAGUCUCCACCAAGUCAUUUGACUCUCAAUACUGAGGACAUUAUGAUUCAAGAAGGGGGGAUUCAACUCAAAUUGCUGCACCUGCCACCCAGCAAUUCAUCUCGACUAUAGAGCACACACCUUUGCUGAACACUCACCAUUCUCGAAAAAAGCUCAAGAAAUAGCAGAAUCAAGAGAUGAUUAGCAGUACCUCCACUCAAGAAACAUACAAGAAGAAAGUCAUCCAAGAAAAGCUUGAUGAUCCCGGUUCAUUCACCCUGCCAUGCUCUCUAGGACCAUUGACAUUCAAUAGGUGCCUUUGUGAUCUAGGAGCAUCUGUUAGCCUUAUUCCUCUCUCUACAGCUAAAAGGCUAGGGAUCAUGGAAUUCAAGUUCUGCAACUUUGCCUUACUCUUAGCUGACGGUUCUGUUGCACAUCCUCAUGGUCUAAUAGAAAAUCUGCUUGUCAAGAUUGAAAAUGUUGAGAUACCUACAGACUUUGUGGUAUUGGACGUAGAUGAAGAAGGCAAGGAUCCCCUGAUCCUAGGCAGACCAUUCUUAGCUUCAGCUGGAGCAGUCAUAGAUGUCAAGAAUGGAAAAAUUAAUCUGAACCUUGAAAAAGGCAUCAAGAUGAAGUUCGACAUCAGAGAAGCUUUAAAGAAAUCAACAACAGGAGAUCAGAGUUUUGGAAUUCAAGAUAUGGAUGUUGAUGAAGAAACAUAAGCUGAAACCUCACCAAAAGUCAAUUAUACUUCUCAACUUAGCAAGCUGAAGAGAACUUUUGACCACAAGAAGAGAGCAACAGAAAGGCUAUCUCAGACUGAAGAUCCUACAGAAGAUGACUGGUAUGAAAUGAGAAAA